GGGACUCCAGGAUAUGUAAGACUAUGCUGCGAAGCUAGUGUAAAGCGGCUGGAUGUCUACUACAUUCAUCUUUACUAUCAGCACUGUGUCUGCUUCAGUGCCACUUGAGGAUACUGAGAAAGGGAUUAGGCGAUAUUAGUUCCUCGGAGACAGACAAUGCAGGGCACUUGUCCCACACUCAAACCCGAAGGUGAAGGGUCUGCCCCACUCUGGGAACCCACCGCCCGUCCCCCAACUCAAUACAAUACGGACACGGGCCACACAUGUAAUAAACAGAGAUAGAAAUGCAGCUAACAGUACUUCUUUUGGUUUAAUUUUCGGUUGAUUGGAGUCAUGGAUUUAUGGUCAUUUAUAUUUCGUAUAAAGGAAAAGAGUACUGAUUUGAUCAGGUCUUUGUUUUUGUAAAGAUUCCUGCAGGAAGUGAUCAAUCGAUUCAGCACCUGGUGAUUCUCAUCCUAUGUGCUUAGUUAAUUCAUGCCUUCUUAUGUAGGUGCUUGUUGAAAAUCAAAUUUUUGUAGUUGCAGAGCAUUAUUGACACUCACUGACAUUUCGUAUGUUAUAGGUAACAAAGAAUGUCAGAUUAUUAGGACAAAAUUAUGAUUAAAUCUUACAGGUUUCAGAUCACUAGGUGCAAAUGUGCAAUGACAUAUUAAACAUGACCUUUUGUGUUUUGCUAACGGCAGUUAUAUUAUUGUUCACGGUAGAACAAUCUAAGCUACCCUCUGAUUUUGCUGACGAUGGAGGAUGAAUCUCAGAUUCAAAUCCCAAAUGCUGUACAGCCAAGUCAGGGCUUGGAGGUAAGUUUACACUUGUUUGAAAUGUCAACUAAACUAAGUUGAUCAAUUUAGAACAAUCUAAAAUAAAGGAAGAGCAGAAUGUGUUACAGUGUAUCUAGCUUCAUUCCUAUCAAGCUGAAAUUUCAGUCUGUAAAACACUAUGAAGUUACUAUCUGAUUAGUUCGCUGUAAUAGUUUGGUACAUAAAUAGCAAAUCCAGCAUAGGUAUGAUAGUUUGUGUAUCAAAUCAGAAUUGCAAAUUAACUAAUAUAUGUACAAAAGUUGAUUUUCGGUUCCU